UCCCUAGUGGCUCAGACGGUAAAGCGUCUGUCUACAAUGCAGGAGACCCGGGUUCGAUCCCUGCAUUGGGAA
rnacentral:tRNA from 1 species